UGCCCCUGGAGCCAUCACCUGGAAACUGAGCGGCAGCUGAGCCGUGGUGCUGCCAAUGGGCCCAGCGCUGCAGUUUGUGGUGGUGGCGUUGGCAUGCCUGGUGGCGCUACUGCUGCCACUGGAGGGAGCGAGUAGCAGCAGCCAUCCAUAUCUGCAGCUCACCCAUCAGCAGAAGCUGAUUGCCGCAUACAUACUGGGGCUCAUGACGAUGGUCAUCGUCCGCCAGUGAAGGAGCUGCUCCAUUCUUCUAGUGCCAGACGAUGUCCUCUCCAGCAGCUUUGUAAAUUGCUGCGUCACUUCGGGGCCUGCAGAUGCCUGUUUUUAAUAAAGUGUGUAAGGAC